CACGUAGUUAGCCGUGACUUAUUCCUGAGGUACCGUCCUUACUCUUCCCCCAGAAGAGGAGUUUACAACCGAAGCCUUCAUCCUCCACGCGGCGUUGCUGCAUCAGGGUUUCCCCCAUUGUGCAAUAUUCCUC
rnacentral:rRNA from 1 species